CUACCGGAGUACUAUGAAUAAUAUAAAAAUUUAAAACUCAAAGAACUUGGCGGUGUUUUAGACCACUCAGGGGAACCUGUCUCGUAAUCGACAAUCCACGUUGUACCUGACCUUUUUUUGUUUUCAGUUUGUAUACCGUUGUCGUCAGGUAACUUUUUAGAAAGUAGAAGUUGGCCAUAGAAACAUGGUGAUUUAAGACGUCAAAUCAAGGUGCAGCUAAUAAAAAGGGGAGGAUGGGUUACAGUUAUACAGUUAUAAUUACGGAUACUUAUGUGGAAGCCAUAGGUUAUGAAGGAGGACUUGAAAGUAAAUUGAAUUAUGAAAGCAGUUUGAAUGAGGCUCUGAAACGUGU
rnacentral:rRNA from 1 species